GAGUGCAGUAGCUAGUUGAUCAAUUUUGAACUCUAGUUUAGCUAUGGAUUGAGUGUGAGAGUGGAGGAUCUAGAUGUUCAUUUCUAGCCCUUUUAAUAUGUGUAAUACUUUCUCUUUAAAUGCUGAAUUAUAGACACUUGGAGAGGAUUGCUGAACAUUCUGAUAUUGGUAUCUAUAUAAGUUUCUUCCAGAUAGCUAGGUUCAUGGUUAGACACUGGUUGUGAUAUCCAAGAAAAUAUUGGAUGAUUUUUCUAACCCAGAUUGUAGGUGUUGGCCAAAGGAUUGUGAUGAGCAGUCUGGGUUUGG
rnacentral:lncRNA from 1 species